CCUACGGGAGGCAGCAGUGAGGAAUAUUGGUCAAUGGACGAGAGUCUGAACCAGCCAAGUCGCGUGAAGGAUGACUGCCCUAUGGGUUGUAAACUUCUUUUAUAUGGGAAUAAAAUGUUCCACGUGUGGGAUUUUGUAUGUACCAUAUGAAUAAGGAUCGGCUAACUCCGUGCCAGCAGCCGCGGUAAUACGGAGGAUCCGAGCGUUAUCCGGAUUUAUUGGGUUUAAAGGGAGCGUAGGUGGAUUGUUAAGUCAGUUGUUAAAGUUUGGGGCUCAACCGUAUAAGUGCAGUUGAAACUGGCAGUCUUGAGUGCAGUAGAGGUGGGCGGAAUGCGUGGUGUAGCGGUGAAAUGCUUAGAGAUCACGAAGAACUCCGAUUGCGAAGGCAGCUUACUGGACUGCAACUGACACUGAGGCUCGAAAGUGUGGGUAUCAAACAGGAUUAGAUACCCGAGUAGUC
rnacentral:rRNA from 1 species